UGAGCCUCGCAGAUGACAGAGCAUGGAUAAACAGCCAUCCUGCAGCUGUUUCCGUGGUGGAUAAGACAACUCCUACACCUCCUUGACUUCUUUUCACAUUUCCACCACUCUGCUUUUCCAGACCACUCACUUUGCCAGUUGAAGACCCAGUCAACUCUGCUGGAAGCCUGGGAUCAUGGUUAAGGAGACAGGCUAUAUCACUGUGCUGCAAGUAUGGGAAGCAUGGAAUUAGUUUUGUGGAGGCUUCAAGGGGGGAGCAGUCUGAUUGAGUACUUUGUGUAAGAGAACGCACUGACUGCAGCAUUGAAACAAAGUGUGUUUACACUACGUUAGUGUACUAUUACAGACAUUGUGUGACACAACUGGAGAGAGGAUGGACUAUCAACAGGUAGCCAGAAGCCUGGGGCUUUUGGAGGGAGGAAAGGACGUCAUGAAUGCAGAAGAGCAUCUCCAUUACUUAGGGUGGAGGGUAGAAAUGAAAAACCUGAGGUCUGGCUCUGUAAUCUCCUUCUGCCUAUCUGCGGGCAGGUUACUCCCACUGUCACGCUGCUCCUGAAGUCUCUCCACAUCUACUCCAAGAGGUAAUUGCUGAGACCCAGCAGCACCCUGAGCUUCUGCAGUCAUUCCUCCUUCCCAUCUUCAAGACAAAUGCAUUCCAUUUAUCAUAA